UCCUCGUUAGUAUAGUGGUCAGUAUCCCUGCCUGUCACUCGGGAGACCUGGGUUCAAUUCCCUGAUGGGUAG
rnacentral:tRNA from 1 species